CACAGAACAGUUACCACCAAACCUCACUCCCGCUCACCACCCAACCAUCGCUGGGCACCGUCGCACGCCACCGUCGCACAUCGCCGCCGCCGCAAAUCACCACUGCCGCUGUUGCAGAAAGAGUGAGAUCGUGGAGUGGUGGAGAUGGGAUCUGGAGCUGGAAGCUUCCUCAAGGUCGUUGCUAACAACUUCGAUGUUCUCGCUGGGUAUCUCUCUCUAUCUCUCUAUCUACUUUACCCAAAUUCUAUUGAUACAGAGACAGUCGGACAGAAAUCAAUUUCAAUGCCCUUCUCUCUUGUUCUUUGCUUCGCAGCUAUGCUAUUGUUCUCUUUUUGUUUUCUCAAAUAUGAAUUUUCUACACUUUACUCAAACCAACCCUGAAUACGUUAUUUUAUUUUAAUUUUUUUCCAAUUUUGAGUAAAAAUAGUUUGCUUUCUAGGUCUACAUCCUAAAAAUUUAAAAAGAAAAACUGGAACAAGUUUGAAAAGAAAAAAAAAAAAAUUGUAAGUACAAUUUACCACUAACAUUUUUUCUUUUUUACUUUCCUUGUUUCCUUCUCUAUAAUUUGUUGAUGUUUCUAAGAGACAAGAGCAUAACUGGUAGCCAUUUGCAGUAUUUUUCUUUGCAUAUGAUUGGAAACAUGCCUUUUUUCCACCUCGUUGUUGCUUGCUCUAUCAUUUGAAUUAGCAAGUCAAUGGAGAAAUUAUGCUUGCCAUUAUACUUUGCUGCCAUUAA